rnacentral:rRNA from 1 species
UACGUAGGGUGCGAGCGUUAAUCGGAAUUACUGGGCGUAAAGCGUGCGCAGGCGGCUCGUUAAGACAGGUGUGAAAGCCCCGAGCUUAACUUGGGAAUUGCGCUUGUGACUGGCGAGCUGGAGUGUGGCAGAGGGAGGUGGAAUUCCACGUGUAGCAGUGAAAUGCGUAGAGAUGUGGAGGAACACCGAUGGCGAAGGCAGCCUCCUGGGCCAGAACUGACGCUCAUGCACGAAAGCGUGGGGAGCAAACAGG